rnacentral:rRNA from 1 species
UACAGAGGGGGCAAGCGUUAUUCGGAAUUAUUGGGCGUAAAGGGCGCGUAGGCGGCUUGGCAAGUGGAAGGUGAAAUCCCUCGGCUUAACCGAGGAACUGCCCUCCAAACUGCUUGGCUUGAGACCGGGAGAGGUGAGUGGAAUUCCCAGUGUAGAGGUGAAAUUCGUAGAUAUUGGGAAGAACACCGAUGGCGAAGGCAGCCAUCUGGACCGACACUGACGCUGAGGCGCGAAAGCGUGGGGGAGCAAACAGG